UACGGAGGGUGCAAGCGUUAUCCGGAUUCACUGGGUUUAAAGGGUGCGUAGGCGGGUUGGUAAGUCCGUGGUGAAAUCCCCAAGCUUAACUUGGGAACUGCCGUGGAUACUAUCAAUCUUGAAUAUCGUGGAGGUAAGCGGAAUAUGUCAUGUAGCGGUGAAAUGCUUAGAUAUGACAUAGAACACCAAUUGCGUAGGCAGCUUACUAGACGAUCAUUGACGCUGAGGCACGAAAGCGUGGGGAGCAAACAGG
rnacentral:rRNA from 1 species